GCAUAGGUAAAACAACUCUUGCCAGAGAAGUAUUUAAAAAAAUCUCUUCUCAUUUUGAAGUUUGUUGCUUUUUAGAAAAUGAUAGAAAAAAAUCAUCAAAAGCUAAAUUGGAAAAUAAGCUUCUUGUUGCAAUAUUUGGUGAAGGAAGUUACAAUUCAAGAUGGAUGCUAAGAGCGCACCAACUUCGCAAUAAAAAGGUUCUUGUUGUACUUGACGAUGUAGAUGAUUUUGACCAAAUAGAAUUUUUAGAGAGCACUUGUUUUGGUAUGGGAAGUAGAAUCAUUGCAACAAGUAGAGACAAAAAUGUGUUUGAAGAUAGAGUUCACGGAAUAUAUGAGGUUCCUGCAUUAAUUGAUCAUGAAGCACUUCAGCUUUUUAGCAUAUAUGCCUUUAAACAAAUCCAUCCCAAAGGAGAUCAUAUGGAGCUAUCAGGUACUGUUGUCAGUUAUGCCGGAGGAAACCCUUUAGCUCUUAAAAUUUUGGGUUCAUUUCUGCGUGGCAAGAACAAAGGAGAAUGGGAAAGUGCACUAAAGAAACUUAAGAAGGUUCCUCACAAGAAAAUACAAGAUGUAUUGAAAAUAAGUUAUGAUGGGCUUGAUUUUGAGGAACAACAAACAUUUCUUCACGUUGCUUGCUUCUUUAAAGGGG
rnacentral:misc_RNA from 1 species